rnacentral:rRNA from 1 species
UACGAAAGGGGGGCUAGCGUUGCUCGGAAUGACUGGGCGUAAAGGGCGCGUAGGCGGAUGGCACAGUCAGAUGUGAAAUUCCCGGGCUUAACCUGGGGGGCUGCAUUUGAUACGUGUUGUCUUGAGUUCGGAAGAGGGUCGUGGAAUUCCGAGUGUAGAGGUGAAAUUCGUAGAUAUUCGGAGGAACACCAGUGGCGAAGGCGGCUCACUGGUCCAUUACUGACGCUGAGGUGCGAAAGCGUGGGGAGCAAACAGG